UCCUUUUGAGUUAGCGGUGUGAGGAAAACUGAAAGAAAGGUGGUUCGAGGCUUUGGUGACGUGUGAGUUGCUUUAGAGAUUUUCAAGGAAGCACGUGAGCUUUUCUCAGGCUGGUGAACGGCAGCCGUCGGGCACACGUCAUUCUCAGGAGACAUCUGCCUCUUUUCUAAAUUACUGGGUCAAGAAUUUGGUUAGAGAAGAAAGAGAGGAAGAGGAAGGGGGAGGAAGAGGAAGAAAAGGAAGAGAGAGAGGAGGGAGAGGAAGCCGGCUCCCGGCGACAGCGCGUGCACGGGCUGCGGUGGCUGUGGUCCCUUCACGACGACCUCCUGGGCCAGGACAGGGCUCCCCGCCUGCCUCAGCCGCCCCAGCGCUCUGGUCCCUCAGAAGAGAAGGGACAGACAACGGUGGCCGGAGGAAGCCAGGCACAAGGCUCUGUCUGCUCCCACUCAUCCGAGCUGUAAGGACAAGGCGAACCGACUGGACCGUUCGCCAUGGGCCCCGCAGCUCCCCUGGGGUGGCGGGGGCGUGGAGGGGACAGCCAGGGCACUUCCGGGGGCCCGAGGUUGUGUUUCUUGAGCUGGGUGCUCACGUGUAUAAAAUUUCACCUAGCUGAACACUCUUGGCGUGGGUGUUUUUCUGUAAGUAUAUUCACUGGCAAGCUAAAGAGAACGAGAGAGAGAGAGAGAGAGAGAGGGAGAGAGAGAGAGAGAGAAGGCCAGCACAGCUAAGCCACUCUUCAAAUGUUCGGGGUUUCUGCAGACUCGUGUGCUGGCUUGUCCUCUACGGAGGACUUCCUUCCUGCCCCCCAUAAAAGUUGUAGUAAUGUCUCAUGCCCCAAAUCAGGAAGAACCUGCUCUUGGAUUUCGCAAGGGGGAAGUUCUGAAGUCCACUGUCCCAUUGUCCACACUGGACCCCUCAAAGUGAACCGGCACCGUGAUGCGGAGGUCUGGGUGACCCUCGGGCCCCAGGACGCGGAGCAGGGCCCUGUAUUCAACUAAUGCGGGCACCUGCACAGACGUGCGUGUGCACUCCCGGCCAAGACCCUCCCCGCCUGUCUCAGAACUAGACUCCGUUCCCCUGACUUGAAGGAUCUCCACGUGCGUCACCACAAGGUUCUUCUGAGGAAGACCUGGAAUGUGAGGUGUAAACUGAGGCCGCAGGGGGCCAGAAUCAGGGUGCAGCCCGAGCAACAUUCCUCAGGCAGCUCGACGGCCACAACUCGGGUGAAAACACCACCUUAUUUCCCAGAACAGGCAUCAGGCACGCUGAGUCCCAAGCCUCAUAAAACCUAGUAAGUAAUAUCUAUCUCCCCCUGAAAAUAGAAUCGGGCUUUAAAACCAGCCCACAGCUGAGGUGCCUGGGGGGCUCAGUCGGUUAAGCGUCCCACUUGAGCUCAGGUCAUGAUCUUGCGGUUCGUGGGUUCAAGCCCCGCCUGGGGCUCUGCGCUGACAGCUCAGAGCCUGCUUCGGAUUCCGUGUCUGCCUCUCUCGCUGCCCCUUCCCUGCUUGCGCUCUGUCUCUCUCUCUCUCAAAAAUAAAUACACAUUACAAAAAAUUAAAACCA
rnacentral:lncRNA from 1 species